rnacentral:rRNA from 1 species
CACAUGCAAGUCGGACGGCAGCACAGAGAAGCUUGCUUCUUGGGUGGCGAGUGGCGAACGGGUGAGUAACAUAUCGGAACGUACCGAGCAGUGGGGGAUAACUAAUCGAAAGAUUAGCUAAUACCGCAUAUAUUCUGAGGAAGAAAGCAGGGGACCAUUUGGCCUUGCGCUGUUUGAGCGGCCGAUAUCUGAUUAGCUAGUUGGUGGGGUAAAGGCCUACCAAGGCGACGAUCAGUAGCGGGUCUGAGAGGAUGAUCCGCCACACUGGGACUGAGACACGGCCCAGACUCCUACGGGAGGCAGCAGUGGGGAAUUUUGGACAAUGGGCGCAAGCCUGAUCCAGCCAUGCCGCGUGUCUGAAGAAGGCCUUCGGGUUGUAAAGGACUUUUGUCAGGGAAGAAAAGGGCGGGGUUAAUACCCCUGUCUGAUGACGGUACCUGAAGAAUAAGCACCGGCUAACUACGUGCCAG